AUUCAGGCAUCCCUAGUACGGCGAGUGACCGGGAAGAGCUCAAAUUUGAAAUCUGGCGUGCUCAGUGCGUCCGAGUUGUAAUCUAUAGAGUCGUUUUCCGUGCCGGACUGUGUCCAAGUCCCUUGGAACAGGGUAUCAAAGAGGGUGAUAAUCCCGUACUUGACACAAUGACCGGUGCUCUGUGAUACGUCUUCUACGAGUCGAGUUGUUUGGGAAUGCAGCUCAAAAUGGGUGGUGAGUUCCAUCUAAAGCUAAAUAUUGGCGAGAGACCGAUAGCGAACAAGUACCGUGAGGGAAAGAUGAAAAGCACUUUGGAAAGAGAGUUAAACAGUACGUGAAAUUGUUAAAAGGGAAACGAUUGAAGUCAGUCGUGACUGAGAGGCUCAGCCGGUUCUGCCGGUGUAUUCCCCUCAGUCGGGUCAACAUCAGUUUUGUUCGGUGGAUAAGGGCAGUUGGAAGGUGGCACCCUCGGGUGUGUUAUAGCCAGCUGUCGCAUACAUCGGAUGAGACUGAGGAAUGCAGCUCGCCUUUAUGGCCGGGGUUCGCCCAACGUUCGAGCUUAGGAUGUUGACAUAAUGGCUUUAAACGACCCGUCUGAAAA
rnacentral:rRNA from 1 species